GGAAAGAUGGCUCAGUGGUAGAGUGAUUGCCUUGCAUGCAUGAGGCCCUGGGUUCGAUUCCUCAGUACCA
rnacentral:tRNA from 1 species